UUCUCCAAAUACGUCAGCAACAAGAAGAAGAUCAGGGAGAGUGUGGGUCCCUUACUGAAUGGGGGAGGCAAACUAGUGACACAGGAUGCAGAAAAGGCAGAAGUACUCAAUGCCUUCUUCACCCAAGUCUUCACAGCAAGGUCAGGUCCCAGACUACUACACCUUGCAGCACAGUUUGGGGAGAAGGCAACCAGAUGCCAUGACCUACAGUCAAGAGUAUGUUUCAAGGCAGAGUAGCACCUGUUCCCUUGCAUCUUCCUGCUGGGACAUGCACUUCAUCAAGGCUUAAUUCAGAAAGCUCUCUGGAAAGCUGCACCCAAGCUCAUCCCGAACAGAUGAAACAUCUCUUUCCCUGGAUCAAUAAUUGCAGAUGAAGACCUUGAACUGCUACUGCCCUUACAAAAUCCUACAGGAAAACCAAAUAACUAAGGAAAGAACCCAACAGGUUAAAUGCACUAAAAACACUAAAAUAAAACAUACACUGAAAAAAAACCCUUACUUAGUAGUCUUGAUAUACAAAAUUGUCACAAAUACAAGACCAAAAUCAAAACAAGGGCACUAUAUGUCUACCCCAUGUUUAAGUCAAGUGCAAUUUUUAAUUUUU